rnacentral:rRNA from 1 species
AUGAUCGACACCAAGGCCCAGAAGGUGUGCUUCGCCGAGGAUGGAAGCGACGUCGUGGAGUUCCUCGCGGGCCUCCUGUCCCUGCCGCUGGGCACCGUAGUCGACCUACUGACCAAGGAGCGCAUGGUCGGCUGGAUCGGCAACGUGCUCGGCAGCGUGGAGAAGCUAGAUGCGAACUACAAGAGCAAGGAGUUGCGCCUUAGCCCAGCCGUCACCCCGGCCACGAUCCCCCUCCUAAAGCAGCUGUUGGGCACACAACUCAGCAACGGUACUGACACCUUCUACACAUGUGAAGGCCGUAAAACUGGCGCCUACCCAGGCGUAGGCACUAGCUGUGGAUAUCUAUCGGUGAUACGUAACAGAGUCUGCCCUAGAUGCAACUGUUAUAUGCACAGGGCUAUGACGCUCGCCGCCGAAACGAAUGGGACCCUGGUGGCCGCGGCACCAUCGACGACCACGCCGUUACCUGUGGGCAUGUACACUGUCGGGGAUGACCUGUCUGUGACUUCGGCCUCUUUUUUCGCGACGAUCUCGCUGUUGGGCAUCAAGGACCUCAGCGCCUUGCAGGAAAAGACAGUGAAGAUCGGCAAGGAAGAGGCACUAGAGAUAUUUGCUGCUUCCCUGAAGUCCAAGACCGUCCUGUCGGAUGUCUUUCUGCCGAAGAAGAAUGCUCACCACAAGAGAGAACAUCCUGAGGGAGUCAUUCAUGUAUGA